AAGAAAGAGAAAAGAGAGGGUAGGCGUGAGGAGUUUGGGGCAUCCAACUCUUGGAUAUCCCCUUACCUUUUUUUUCUUCUUGGGUGACCACAAGGGGAGGGAUGCCUCUUCCUUUUUCAUGAGAGGAAGAGAGGAAAGAGGGCACACAAGAAAGUCAGGCAUGGGGUUUCUUCUCAGUGUGGAGAGAUGUGGUGGCGUGGAGUUUCUUAUAUCACAUGGGUUGGUUGGGUUGAGUCCUAUUCCAAAUAGGAUUCAAGAUCUUGAUCA
rnacentral:lncRNA from 1 species